UAUGUUUGUCAUUAUACAUAGUAAACGCAUUAUAUAGAUAAUUGUUUCACGUUUUUGAUAAUGCCUAGAAAUUGUAGGACUUGGGAUCUGAGUGAUUGACAGCGGAGAUUGAUCAUUUCCUUAGUUCGUAUGUUGUCAUGUUCUACUAGUUCCACUGGCCUUGUAGUUAUAAAUAAUAGAUCUAUUUUUAUUUUGCCCCGCAGUAUUAUCC